AUUCCGAGUCCGGCGGACGAAGUUGGCCAGCCCCACCCCCCAAGGCUAUAGCCCACCCGUUCUUGUGACAUUUUUCCGCUGGACGAACUUGGCGCCCCGGUCUUCGGGCCGUUAUUUUUGGGCGCGGCUGUGCCCGCGGCCACUUUUUGGCACACCGAGGUGGCUCGCAAAGUCUCGCGCCAUUCCAAGUCUGGCGGACGAAGUUGGCCAGCCCCACCCCCCAAGGCUAUAGCCCACCCGUUUUUGUGGCCUUUUUCCGCUGGACGAACUUGGCGCCCCGGUCUUCGGGCCGUUAUUUUUGGGCGCGGCUGUGCCCGUGGCCACUUUUUGGCACACGGAGGUGCCUUGCAAAGUCUCGCGUCAUUCCGAGUCCGGCGGACGAAGUUGGCCAGCCCCACCCCCCAAGGCUAUAGCCCACCCGUUUUUGUGGCCUUUUUCCGCUGGACGAACUUGGCGCCCCGGCCUUCGGGUGGUUAUUUUCGGCUGCGGCUGAGCUCGCGGCCUAUUUUUGGCACACGGAGGCCCGUCGCAAAGUCUCGCGCCAUUCCGAGUCCGGCGGACGAAGUUGGCCAGCCCCACCCCCCAAGGCUAUAGCCCACCCGUUUUUGUGGCCUAUUUCCGCUGGACGAACUUGGCGCCCCGGCCUUCAGGCGGUUAUUUUUGGGCGCGCCUCUGCCCGCGUCCUAUUUUUGGCACACAGAGGUGCCUCGCAAAGUCUCGCGCCAUUCCGAGUCCGGCGGACGAAGUCGGCGGGCCCCACCCCCCAAGGCUAUAGCCCACCCGUUUUUGUGGCCUUUUUCCGCUGGACGAACUUGGCGCCCCGGCCUUCGGUCGACUAUUUUUGGGUGCGGCUGUACCUGCGGCCUAUUUUUGGCACACGGAGGCCCCUCGUAAAGUCUCGCGCCAUUCCGAGUCCGGCGGACGAAGUCGGCCAGCCCCACCCCCCAAGGCUAUAGCCCAACCGUUUUUGCGGCCUUUUUCCGCUGGACAAACGUGGCGCCCCGGCCUUCGGGCAGUUAUUUUUGGGCGCGGCUUUACCCGCGGCCUAUUUUUGGCACACGGAGGCCCCUCGCAAAGUCUCGCAGCAUUCCAAGUCCGGCGAACGAAGUUGGCCAGCCCCACCGCCCAAGGCCCACCCGUUUUUGUGGCCUUUUACCGCUGGACGAACUUGGCGCCCCGGCCUUCGGGCAGUUAUUUUUGGGCGAGGCUUUGCCCGUGGCCUAUUUUUGGCACACGGAGGACCCUCGCAAAGUCUCGCGGCAUUCCGAGAACGGCGGACGAAAUUGGCCAGCCGCAGCCCCCAAGGCUAUAGCCCACCCGUUUUUGUGCCCUUUUUCCGCAGGACGAACGUGGCGCCCCGGCCUUCGGGCAGUUAUUUUUGGACGCGGCUUUGCCCGCGGCCUAUUUUUGGCACACGGAGGCCCCUCGCAAAGUCUCGUUCCGAGUCCGGCGGACGAAGUUGGCCAGCCCCACCCCCCAAGUCUAUAGCCCACCAGUUUUUGUGGCCUUUUUCUGCAGGACGAACUUGGCGCCCCAUCCUUCGGCCGGUUAUUUCUUGGCGCGGCUUUGUCCGUGGCCUAUUUUUGGCACACGGAGGCCCCUCGCAAAGUCUCGCGGCAUUCCGAGCCCGGCGGACGAAGUUGGCCAGCCCCACCCCCCAAGGCUAUAGCCCACCCGUUUUUGUGGCCUUUUUCCGCUGGACGAACUUGGCGCCCCGGCCUUCGGGCGGUUAUUUUUGGGCGCGGCUUUGCCCGCGGCCUAUUUUUGGCAAACGGAGGCCCCUCGCAAAGUCUCGCGCCAUUCCAAUUCCGGCGGACGAAGUAGGCCAGCCCCAUCCCCCAAGGCUAUAACCCACCCGUUUUUGUGGCCUUUUUCCGCUGGACGAACUUGGCGCCCCGGCCUUCGGGCGGUUAUUUUUUGGCGCGGCUUUGUCCACGGCCUCUUUUUGGCACACGGAGGCCCCUCGCAAAGUCUCGCGCCAUUCCGAGGCCGGCGGACGAAGUUGGCCAGCCCCACCCCUCAAGGCUAUAGCCCACCCGUUUUUGUGGCCUUUUUCCGCUGGACGAACUUGGCGCCCCGGCCUUCGGGCGGUUAUUUUUGGGCGCGGCUUUGCCUGCGGCCUAUUUUUGGCACACGGAGGCCCCUCGCAAAGUCUCGCGGCAUUCCGAGUCCGGCGGACGAAGUUGGCCAGCCCCACCCCCCAAGGCUAUAGCCCACCNNNNNNNNNNNNNNNNNNNNNNNNNNNNNNNNNNNNNNNNNNNNNNNNNNNNNNNNNNNNNNNNNNNNNNNNNNNNNNNNNNNNNNNNNNNNNNNNNNNNCCUAUUUUUGGCACACGGAGGCCCCUCGCAAAGUCUCGCGGCAUUCCGAGUCCGGCGGACGAAGUUGGCCAGCCCCACCCCCCAAGGCUAUAGCCCACCCGUUUUUGUGGCCUUUUUCCACAGGACGAACUUGGCGCCCCGGCCUUCGGUCGCCUAUUUUUGGCUGUGGCUGUACCCGCGGCUUAUUUUUGGCACACGGAGGCCCCUCGUAAAGUCUCGCGCCAUUCCGAGUCCGGCGGACGAAGUUGGCCAGCCCCACCCCCCAAGGCUAUAGCCCACCCAUUUUUUUGGCCUUUUUCCAAUGGACGAACUUGGCGCCCCGGCCUUCGGUCACUUAUUUUUGGGUGAAGCUGUGCCCGCGGCCUAUUUUUGGCACACGGAGGCCCCUCGCAAAGUCUCGCGCCAUUCCGAGUCCGGCGGACGAAGUUGGCCAGCCCCACCCCCCAAGGCUAUAGCCCACCCGUUUUUUUGGCCUUUUUCCAAUGGACGAACUUGGCGCCCCGGCCUUCGGUCACUUAUUUUUGGGUGAAGCUGUGCCCGCGGCCUAUUUUUGGCACACGGAGGCCCCUCGCAAAGUCUCGCGCCAUUGCGAGUCCGGCGGACGAACUUGGCCAGCCCAACCCCCCAAGGCUUUAGCCCACCCGUUUUUUUGGCCUUUUUCCGCUGGACGAACUUUGCGCCCCGGCCUUCGGUCACUUAUUUUUGGGUGAAGCUGUGCCCGCGGCCUAUUUUUGGCACACGGAGGCCCCUCGCAAAGUCUCGCGGCAUUCCGAGUCCGGCGGACAAACUUGGUGCCCCGGCCUUCGGGCGGUUAUUUUUGGGCGCGGCUUUGGCCGCGGCCUAUUAUUGGCACACGGAGGCCCCUCGCAAAGUCUCGCAGCAUUCCGAGUCCGGCAGACGAAGUUGGCCGGCCCCACCCCCCAAGGCUAUAGCCCACCCGUUUUUGUGGCCUUUUUCCGCUGGACGAACUUGGCGCCCCGGCCUUCGGGCGGUUAUUUUUGGGCGCGGCUUUGAUCGCGGCCUAUUUUUGGCAAACGGAGGCCACUCGCAAAGUCUCGCGGCAUUCCGAGUCCGGCGGACGAAGUUGGCCAGCCCCACCCCCCAAGGCUAUAGCCCACCCGUUUUGGUGGUCUUUUUCCGCAGGAGGAACUUGGCGCCCCGCCCUUCGGGCGGUUAUCUUUGGGCGUGGUUUUGCCCGCGGCCUAUUUUUGGCACACGGAGGCCCCUCGCAAAGUAUCGCGGCAUUCCGAGUCCGACGGACGAAGUUGGCCAGCCCCACCCCUCAAGGCUAUAGCCCACCCGUUUUUGUGGCCUUUUUCCGCCGGACGAACUUGGCGCCCCGGCCUUUGGGCGGUUAUUUUUGGGCGUGGCUUUGCCUGCGGCCUAUUUUUGGCACACGGAGGCCCCUCGCAAAGUCUCGCGGCAUUCCGAGUCCGGCGGACGAAGUUGGCCAGCCCCACCCCCCAAGGCCCCCCCGUUUUUGUGGCCUUUUACCGCUGGACGAACUUGGCGCCCCGGCCUUCAGGUGGUUAUUUUUGGGCGCGGCUUUGCCCAUGGCCUAUUUUUGGCACACGAAGGCCCCUCGCAAAGUCUCGCGGCAUUCCGAGAACGGCGGACGAAGAUGGCCAGCCGAACCCCCCAAGGCUAUAGCCCACCCGUUUUUGUGGCCUUUUUCCGCUGAACGAACGUGGCGCCCCGGCCGUCGGGCGGUUAUUUUUGGAUACAGCUUUGCCCGCGGCCUCUUUUUGGCACACGGAGGCCCCUCGCAAAGUCUCGCGGCAUUCCGAGCCCGGCGGAAGAAGUUGGCCAGCCCCACCCCCGACGGGCUAUAGCCCACCAGUUUUUGUGGCCUUUUUCUGCUGGACGAACUUGGCGCCCCGUCCUUCGGCCGGUUAUUUCUUGGCGCGGCUUUGCCCGCGGCCUAUUUUUGGCACACGGAGGCCCCUCGCAAAGUCUCGCGGCAUUCCGAGCCCGGCGGACGAAGUUGGCCAGCCCCACCCCCCAAGGCUAUAGCCCACCCGUUUUUGUGGCCUUUUUCCGCUGGACGAACUUGGCUCCCCGGCCUUCAGGCGGUUAUUUUUGGGCGCGGCUUUGCCCGCGGCCUAUUUUUGGCACACGGAGGGCCCUCGCAAAAUCUCGCGGAAUUCCGAGUCCGGCGGACGAAGUGGGCCAGCCCCAUCCCCCAAGGCUAUAGCCCACCCGUUUUUGUGGCCUUUUACCGCUGGACGAACUUGGCGCCCCGGCCUUCAGGCGGUUAUUUUUGGGCGCGGCUUUGGCCAUGGCCUAUUUUUGGCACACGAAGGCCCCUCGCAAAGUCUCGCUGCAUUCCGAGUCCGGCGGACGAAGUUGGCCAGCCCCACCCCCCAAGGCUAUAGCCCACCAGUUUUUGUGGCGUUUUUCUGCUGGACGAACUUGGCGCCCCGUCCUUCGGCCGGUUAUUUCUUGGCGCGGCUUUGCCCGCGGCAUAUUUUUGGCACACGGAGGCACCUCGCAAAGUCUCGCGGCAUUCCGAGCCCGGCGGACGAAGUUGGCCAGCCCCACCCCCCAAGGCUAUAGCCCACCCGUUUUUGUGGCCUUUUUCCGCUGGACGAACUUGGCUCCCCGGCCUUUGGCCGGUUAUUUCUUGGCGUGGCUUUGCCCGCGGCCUAUUUUUGGCACACGGAGGCCCCUCGCAAAGUCUCGCGGCAUUCCGAGUCCGGCGGACGAAGUGGGCCAGCCCCACCCCCAAAGGUUAUAGCCCACCGUUUUUGUGGCGUUUUUCCUCUGGACGAACUUGGCGCCCCGGCCUUCGGGCGGUUAUUUCGGAGUACGAAUAUGCCCGCGGCCUAUUUUU
rnacentral:lncRNA from 1 species